CAAGUAAUUAAGUGCAUGUGGUGGAUGCCUUGGCAGUCAGAGGCGAUGAAAGACGUGAUAGCCUGCGAAAAGCUCCGGGGAGGCGGCAAAUAUCCUUUGAUCCGGAGAUGUCUGAAUGGGGGAACCCACCUACUUUAAGGUAGGUAUUGCAACAUGAAUACAUAGUGUUGCAAGGCGAACGAGGGGAAGUGAAACAUCUCAGUACCCUUAGGAAAAGAAAUCAAUUGAGAUUCCCUCAGUAGCGGCGAGCGAACGGGGAUCAGCCCAUUAAGUUAUGUGUGUUUUAGUGGAACGCUCUGGGAAGUGCGAACGUAGAGGGUGAUAUUCCCGUACACGAAAGGGCACACAUAAUGAUGACGAGUAGGGCGAGGCACGUGAAACCUUGUCUGAAUAUGGGGGGACCAUCCUCCAAGGCUAAAUACUCCUGACUGACCGAUAGUGAACCAGUACCGUGAGGGAAAGGCGAAAAGAACCCCUGUGAGGGGAGUGAAAUAGAUCCUGAAACCGCAUGCAUACAAGCAGUGGGAGCACCUUCGUGGUGUGACUGCGUACCUUUUGUAUAAUGGGUCAGCGACUUAUAUUCAGUAGCAAGGUUAACCGUAUAGGGGAGCCGUAGAGAAAUCGAGUCUUAAUAGGGCGUUUAGUUGCUGGGUAUAGACCCGAAACCAGGCGAUCUAUCCAUGAGCAGGUUGAAGGUUGGGUAACACUAACUGGAGGACCGAACCCACUGUCGUUGAAAAGCCAGGGGAUGACUUGUGGAUAGGGGUGAAAGGCUAAUCAAGCCUGGUGAUAGCUGGUUCUCCCCGAAAGCUAUUUAGGUAGCGCCUCGGACGAAUACCAUAGGGGGUAGAGCACUGUUUCGGCUAGGGGGUCAUCCCGACUUACCAAACCGAUGCAAACUCCGAAUACCUAUGAGUACUAUCCGGGAGACAGACUGCGGGUGCUAACGUCCGUAGUCAAGAGGAAAACAAUCCAGACCGCCAGCUAAGGCCCCAAAAUCAUAGUUAAGUGGGAAACGAUGUGGGAAGGCAUAGACAGCUAGGAGGUUGGCUUAGAAGCAGCCACCCUUUAAAGAAAGCGUAAUAGCUCACUAGUCGAGUCGGCCUGCGCGGAAGAUGUAACGGGGCUAAAACUAUGUGCCGAAGCUGCGGAUGUAUACUUUGUAUACGUGGUAGGGGAGCGUUCUGUAAGCCGAUGAAGGUGUGUUGAGAAGCAUGCUGGAGGUAUCAGAAGUGCGAAUGCUGACGUGAGUAACGACAAAACGGGUGAAAAACCCGUUCGCCGAAAGACCAAGGGUUCCAGUCCAACGUUAAUCGGGGCUGGGUGAGUCGACCCCUAAGGCGAGGCCGAAAGGCGUAGUCGAUGGGAAAAUGGUUAAUAUUCCAUUACUUCUGUGUAAUGCGAUGAGAGGACGGAGAAGGCUAAAUCAGCCUGGCGUUGGUUGUCCAGGUGAAAGGAUGUAGGCAUGUAUCUUAGGCAAAUCCGGGGUACUCUAUGCUGAGAUCUGAUAGCAAGCUGUACUUGUACAGCGAAGUGGUUGAUGCCAUGCUUCCAGGAAAAGUCUCUAAGCUUCAGUUACACAGGAAUCGUACCCGAAACCGACACAGGUGGUCAGGUCGAGUAGACCAAGGCGCUUGAGAGAACUCUGCUGAAGGAACUAGGCAAAAUGGUACCGUAACUUCGGGAGAAGGUACGCUGUUGUUGGUGAUGGAACUCGCUUCCUGAGCUGACGACAGCCGCAGAAACCAGGCCGCUGCAACUGUUUAUUAAAAACAUAGCACUCUGCAAACACGAAAGUGGACGUAUAGGGUGUGAUGCCUGCCCGGUGCUGGAAGGUUAAUUGAUGGGGUUAGCGUAAGCGAAGCUCUUGAUCGAAGCCCCAGUAAACGGCGGCCGUAACUAUAACGGUCCUAAGGUAGCGAAAUUCCUUGUCGGGUAAGUUCCGACCUGCACGAAUGGCAUAAUGAUGGCGGCGCUGUCUCCAGCAGAGGCUCAGUGAAAUCGAAAUCGCUGUGAAGAUGCAGUGUACCCGCGGCUAGACGGAAAGACCCCGUGAACCUUUACUGCAGCUUGACACUGAACUUUGACCUUACUUGUGUAGGAUAGGUGGGAGGCUUUGAAGCUGGAACGCUAGUUCCAGUGGAGCCGUCCUUGAAAUACCACCCUGGUAAUGUUGAGGUUCUAACUCUGUCCCGUGAUCCGGGACGAGGACCGUGUCUGGUGGGUAGUUUGACUGGGGCGGUCUCCUCCUAAAGAGUAACGGAGGAGUACGAAGGUGCGCUCAGCGUGGUCGGAAAUCACGCGUAGAGUAUAAAGGCAAAAGCGCGCUUAACUGCGAGACCCACAAGUCGAGCAGGUACGAAAGUAGGUCUUAGUGAUCCGGUGGUUCUGUAUGGAAGGGCCAUCGCUCAACGGAUAAAAGGUACUCUGGGGAUAACAGGCUGAUACCGCCCAAGAGUUCAUAUCGACGGCGGUGUUUGGCACCUCGAUGUCGGCUCAUCUCAUCCUGGGGCUGAAGCAGGUCCCAAGGGUAUGGCUGUUCGCCAUUUAAAGAGGUACGCGAGCUGGGUUUAGAACGUCGUGAGACAGUUCGGUCCCUAUCUACCGUGGGCGCUGGAAAUUUGAGAGGAUCUGCUCCUAGUACGAGAGGACCAGAGUGGACGAACCUCUGGUGUACCGGUUGUGACGCCAGUCGCAUCGCCGGGUAGCUAUGUUCGGAAGGGAUAACCGCUGAAAGCAUCUAAGCGGGAAGCCUACCUCAAGAUAAGAUUUCCCUAGGACUUUAUGUCCUCUAAAGAGCCGUUCGAGACUAGGACGUUGAUAGGUUGGAUGUGGAAGCAUAGUGAUAUGUGAAGCUGACCAAUACUAAUUGCUCGUGAGGCUUGACUA
rnacentral:rRNA from 5 species